AAUCCACAGACCAGGUGCAGCAUAGGCAGCAGUAAUGAACAUUUCUCCACACUGCCCUACUAUUGCGCCUCAGAUCUGACCCGGAGGAGAUGACCUUCAGGGUU
ensembl:misc_RNA